rnacentral:rRNA from 1 species
AACGUAGGACACAAGCGUUGUCCGGAUUUACUGGGCGUAAAGAGCGCGCAGGCGGUCGAUCAAGUCGAGUGUGAAAGCCCCCGGCUCAACUGGGGAGGGUCAUUCGAUACUGAUCGACUCGAAGGCAGGAGAGGGUAGUGGAAUUCCCGGUGUAGUGGUGAAAUGCGUAGAUAGUCGGGAGGAACACCAGUGGCGAAGGCGACUACCUGGCCUGUUCUUGACGCUGAGGCGCGAAAGCUAGGGGAGCAAACGGG